rnacentral:rRNA from 1 species
UACGUAGGGUGCAAGCGUUGUCCGGAAUUAUUGGGCGUAAAGAGCUCGUAGGCGGUCUGUCGCGUCUGCUGUGAAAACUCGGGGCUUAACCCCGGGCCUGCAGUGGGGUACGGGCAGACUAGAGUGCGGUAGGGGAGACUGGAAUUCCUGGUGUAGCGGUGAAAUGCGCAGAGUAUCAGGAGGAACACCGGUGGCGGAAGGCGGGUCUCUGGGCCGUAACUGACGCUGAGGAGCGAAAGCGUGGGGAGCGAACAGG